UUUCAGCUCCUGUUACGCAGCCCAAAGAAUGUUAUAGCAUUGGUUAACGUCAUCUGCAAAACAAAUUUUAUAUCUUUUUUACACUAGUGCAGAAAGUUCAGUUAAAAAGCACAAACCUAUUCAAUAGAUUCAUUGACAUUCACUGACAACUGUGAUUGCGUUCCAACAUCUACUGCCGAUAUUAAAACUAUACAGUUUAUGUCACAUAUACUAUGGAUAUUCAGUACUGACAGUGAGUAAACGCAACCUAUGAAGUCCGCUUGUGAUUAGCUGCUCAGAGAUUUGUUGUCCACGUAGCAUAUAGAGAGGAGUGACACAGGAAUAAAUAAUUUACAUAGAAAUGGAUUCCGAGAAUUACACGGUAGAACUAAUACGUCAGGAUAUUGUGAAGAAUCAUCUCCAAGUGAAUGCUUUAAUACAAGACAUACAACAAUGCACUGGGCCGCUAGAAGUGUUAGAUGAACUCAAUGCCGAAGGUAGGACCAAAAUUGCGGUGUUAGAAUCCUCCAUAGAGCGAUUAGCGUCUGUCGCUGAAACCGAACCAAAUGAGAAGAAGAAGACUGAGUUGUUGUCCAUUGUUGAGAGUUAUAAGGAGCAAUUGAACGUGUCCUUGGCUGCCUUUCGCAAGGCUAAUGUUGUUAGUGCUUGUGUCAUAGAUAAAUUAGCUAGGGAGAAUCUGCUCUCCCUGCCAGAGGAGCGGCAAAAUGCCCUUCGUAAACGUCGAGACAAGCAAAGUUUGACAGACGCUUCUAGCCAAAUUACAGACAAAUUAUUCAGCAUCGCAAGGCAUCUAGCUGAGACAACUCAGAGAAGUGCUGAUACAUUGGACACAUUGUGUUGUUGUAUUUCUUCUAAUAACCGUUAUCGAAAAAUAAAUUCAGAAACAGCAUUCCAUUAAAAAAAACAAAGGUGACCUUCAAAUCUUGGAAAUCAUCUUAAAAAAAGCGUUACCGCCGGAUCACUUCCGAAGGAUCACUUCUGCACCAUUAACAUCUUCUGAUAAGGUUGAUAACACGAGAAACGAGCUGGAGCAUCAACAGCAAGUGAUAGUGCAAUCGGGAAAGCUCUUGGGAAAAUAUGGUAGACGCGAAGUCACCGAUAAAGCAUUACUUGUACUGGCCUUCGCGUUCUUCCUCGCCUGCGUGUUUUAUAUUUUACAAAAGAGACUGUUCUGAAAGC